rnacentral:lncRNA from 1 species
GGGCCACAAUGCAGCACUGGUGAAGGCAAAGGGAACGUCAAGGGAACCCCUGGUUCCAGCCGACUGAGCUUAAUCCGCGCAGGAGGCUUGGUCCCGAACUACAUUCUGAGUUCAAAGGGAUCAGGAAAUGUAAUCAGAUUGUUAAUAUAAAUCAUUUUAAUAGAAGAGAGUGUUAUGCCUUCAUUUAAGAAAACAAAUCAACCCAGUUAGUGAGUGCGUGCGUCCUGGGCUCUCAAGGACAACGUCUAACUCAUCAGGAGCAGAAGCAAAACACAGUCCCUGCUCUCAGAUGCUUCCGUGAUUACUGCAAAGCUAAACUCACAUGGAUGAAAGCACUAGUAGCCGAAGCGUCAGGAGCUACAGUGAGCCAGAGAACAGUCCUUUCUUUGUCCUGACACGACCCACUGAGGUGGGAAGCACCCUGAGAGCCGCGCCGGAAGAAGGAAACCAUGCUACAGGCCAACCAAUAGUCAUGGUCAUGGUCAACGGAGUCAAAAGCUUUAUCUUGAGUUGGGCAGUUUUUUUCCUAAUGAGACUGGAAUGUGGCACUAACCUCCAAGAAGCAUGAUGUCAAAUAGACGCGGAGGCCGGGGCAUCUCAGCUCUAAUGCUGCCCACUGACCCUUUGGAGAAGUCCAGAGCCACUUCUCACCCUUCUGUGUAUGCUUUGGCGUUGGGUUACACAAGGGACGUGGAGAAGCAUGCACAUUGCCAGCCCUGAUCCCACUCCCACCGGAUUUCUCGGAGCCACGGCUGCAGGUUCACUGCCCCGAUAUCACAGCUUCUCACCAAAGUAUACUGGGUGUUUUCCUGUAUAUAUCUAUUCUUCACAAUAACUCACUGACGUUGGUUUUAUGGCUUAACUUCACUGAGAAGUGAUGGUGGAAUGGAAAGAGGACAGUUCCUUUGAGUCCAGCAGAUGUGGACUUAAAUCCACAUCCCAACCACAUCUUAGCCCCGUAAACAGGCAUGCUGACGCAGAGCUGAGUGUGACAGCGACGAUCCAAAUCCUAGAAACCAGCAGACUCAGUGGCGUCUAAAGCGUUUGCAAACAUGUUCCAGCAGAGUGGAUCUAUUGAAAGUUCAGAUGUUGGUGGCUAAUACUUUUCUUUUUUAAAGUCCUUACAGAAUUGACUGACAAAGUCCAUUGAAAACUGAACAAAGUAAGAAAAAUUGCCCAAUCGUGUUGGACUACAAAUUAAAAAAAGUAUUUUAAAUGACACCUUCUCCCUGACUGGGACAUGGUGGCUUAUCAAACAAAGGCUGCAGAUGUGCACUCUGCUUGGCAGGAGGGGCAGGUGUCUCGUGGGGGUCCUCUCCACCCAGGUCUCUUUCAUAGGUGGUGAAAUGCAAGGCAGACAUGAAGUCGGAGGGAACAGGGGAAAGAAGGGUCUUUGAGCCAUUCUCUGGUGCAAUUUGUACCAUGGAAAUUUAGUUUUGAUUUUUUCCAUAUGAAUCAUGAAAAACAUGAAACAUGCAGGGGGUUUAUCAUAAUUCGCAAUGAGA